GACGAGCGCUGGCGGCGUGCUUAACACAUGCAAGUCGAACGGAGAUUCAGCAAUGGAUCUUAGUGGCGAACGGGUGAGUAACGCGUAGGCAAUCUGCCUUCUAGAUGGGGACAACAUCCCGAAAGGGGUGCUAAUACCGAAUGUUGUACCGUUUCCGCAUGGAGAUGAUACUAAAGGUGGCCUCUGAAUAUGCUACCGCUAGAAGAUGAGCCUGCGUCUGAUUAGCUAGUUGGAGGGGUAACGGCCCACCAAGGCUUCGAUCAGUAGCCGGUCUGAGAGGAGGAACGGCCACACUGGGACUGAGACACGGCCCAGACUCCUACGGGAGGCAGCAGUGGGGAAUCUUCCGCAAUGGACGAAAGUCUGACGGAGCAACGCCGCGUGAGUGAAGAAGGUUUUCGGAUCGUAAAGCUCUUUCGUUAGGGACGAACGUGCUCUUUGUGAAUAAUGAGGAGUAAUGACGGUACCUAAAUAAGAAGCCACGGCUAACUACGUGCCAGCCGCCGCCGUAAGAC
rnacentral:rRNA from 1 species